AAAAUACUCCCUCCGUCCCAAAAUAAGUGUCGCUGAUUUAGUAGUUGUACUAAAUCAGCGACACUUAUUUUGGGACGGAGGGAGUACCUU
rfam:Triticum aestivum genome assembly, contig: Triticum_aestivum_CS42_TGACv1_scaffold_343529_4DL